rnacentral:rRNA from 1 species
AUUGAACGCUGGCGGCAUGCUUUACACAUGCAAGUCGAACGGUAACAGGCCGCAAGGUGCUGACGAGUGGCGAACGGGUGAGUAAUGCAUCGGAACGUGCCCAGUCGUGGGGGAUAACGCAGCGAAAGCUGCGCUAAUACCGCAUACGAUCUCUGGAUGAAAGCGGGGGACCGAAAGGCCUCGCGCGAUUGGAGCGGCCGAUGUCAGAUUAGGUAGUUGGUGGGGUAAAGGCUCACCAAGCCAACGAUCUGUAGCUGGUCUGGGAGGACGACCGGAAACACUGGGACUGAGACACGGCCCAGACUCCUACGGGAGGCGGCAGUGGGGAAUUUUGGACAAUGGGCGCAAGCCUGAUCCAGCAAUGCCGCGUGCAGGAAGAAGGCCUUCGGGUUGUAAACUGCUUUUGUACGGAACGAAACGGUCCUGGUUAAUACCUGGGGCUAAUGACGGUACCGUAAGAAUAAGCACCGGCUAACUACGUGCCAGCCGCCGCCGUAACAC